rnacentral:rRNA from 1 species
AGCGAACGCUGGCGGCAGGCCUAACACAUGCAAGUCGAACGAACUCUUCGGAGUUAGUGGCGGACGGGUGAGUAACACGUGGGAACGUUCCUUUUGGUUCGGAAUAACUCAGGGAAACUUGUGCUAAUACCGAAUGUGCCCUUCGGGGGAAAGAUUUAUCGCCAUUAGAGCGGCCCGCGUCUGAUUAGCUAGUUGGUGAGGUAACGGCUCACCAAGGCGACGAUCAGUAGCUGGUCUGAGAGGAUGACCAGCCACACUGGGACUGAGACACGGCCCAGACUACUACGGGAGGCAGCAGUGGGUAAUCUUGCGCAAUGGGCGAAAGCCUGACGCAGCCAUGCCGCGUGAAUGAUGAAGGUCUUAGGAUUGUAAAAUUCUUUCACCCGGGACGAUAAUGACGGUACCCGGAGAAGAAGCCCCGGCUAACUUCGUG